rnacentral:rRNA from 1 species
AUGGUCCGUAUUCGUGACUCCGAUGUGCAAUACAAGCUCACCACCGUGUACGGCCCCGCGGAUUCUUCUCGCAAAGAUGCCUUCUUCGCGGAGCUUAUCAGCCAAAAACCGCCCAAUGGCAUGCCAUGGCUUGCGGCUGGGGAUUUCAACCAAAUUUAUCGUGCAAGAGACAAAAAUAAAAGGCAUGUUAAUCGAAGUAGAAUUAAUCGGUUUCGAGCGACACUGCAAAGUUGUGAGCUUAAAGAGAUACACCUGCAAAAUAGGAGGUUCACUUGGAGCAACGAGAGGGAAAACCCGACUAUGUGCAAACUGGACUUGUUUUUUUGCAAUGCCGAGUGG